UACAGAGGUCCCAAGCGUUGUUCGGAUUCACUGGGCGUAAAGGGUGCGUAGGUGGUGAGGUAAGUUUGAUGUGAAAUCUCCGGGCUCAACCCGGAAAUGGCAUUGAAUACUAUCUUGCUAGAGGAGUGGAGGGGGGACUGGAAUACUUGGUGUAGCAGUGAAAUGCGUAGAUAUCAAGUGGAACACCAGUGGCGAAGGCGAGUCCCUGGACACUUCCUGACACUGAGGCACGAAAGCUAGGGGAGCAAGCAGG
rnacentral:rRNA from 1 species